rnacentral:rRNA from 1 species
GAGUUUGAUCAUGGCUCAGAACGAACGCUGGCGGCGUGCUUAACACAUGCAAGUCGAACGAGAAAUCCUGAGCAAUCGGGAGAGUAAAGUGGCGCACGGGUGAGUAACGCGUGGGUAACCUAACCUUGAACUGGGAAUAACUCUUCGAAAGGAGAGUUAAUACCGAAUAAAAUUCCGAUUCCCUCGGGGAUUGGAAUCAAAGAUGGCCUCUGCAUGCAAGCUAUCGUUCAAGGAUGGGCCCGCGUACCAUUAGCUUGUUGGCAGGGUAAUGGCCUACCAAGGCAACGAUGGUUAGCUGGUCUAAGAGGAUGGUCAGCCACACUGGAACUGAGAUACGGUCCAGACUCCUACGGGAGGCAGCAGUGGGGAAUCUUGCGCAAUGGGGGAAACCCUGACGCAGCAACGCCGCGUGGGUGAUGAAGGCCUUCGGGUCGUAAAGCCCUGUCAGGUGGGAAGAAAAAUGCUGACGUGAAUAAUAUCAGCACUUGACGGUACCACCGGAGGAAGCACCGGCUAACUCCGUGCCAGCAGCCGCGGUAAUACGGAGGGGGCUAGCGUUGUUCGGAAUUACUGGGCGUAAAGCGCACGUAGGCGGCUACUUAAGUCAGAGGUGAAAGCCCGGGGCUCAACUCCGGAAUUGCCUUUGAAACUGGGUAGCUUGAACACG